ACUUACGACCACACUAUUCUGAACGCACACAUCUUGCCUAAUCUCAGAAGCUAAGCAGGACUGGGCCAGGUUAGUAUUCGGAUGGGCGACCUCCAGGGAUCUCCUGGUUAGGAUUAGGA
rnacentral:rRNA from 1 species